rnacentral:rRNA from 1 species
CCUACGGGAGGCAGCAGUAGGGAAUUUUCGGCAAUGGGGGGAACGCUGACCGAGCAACGCCGCGUGAACGAAGAAGGUAUUCGGAAUGUAAAGUUCUUUUAACAGGGAAGAAAGAGAAAUUUGACGGUACCUGAAGAAUAAGCACCGGCUAACUACGUGCCAGCAGCCGCGGUAAUACGUAGGGAGGGAGCGUUAUCCGGAUUUAUUGGGCGAAAGGGGUGCGUAGAUGGCAUAGUAAGUCUUUUGUAAAAAUGCUGGUCUCAACCACGUAGGGCAAAAGAUACUGCAAAGCUAGAGUAUGACAGAGGCAAGUGGAACUACAUGUGUAGCGGUAAAAUGCGUAAAUAUAUGUAAGAACACCAGUGGCGAAGGCGGCUUGCUGGGUCGAUACUGACAUUGAGGCACGAAAGCGUGGGGAGCAAACAGGAUUAGAUACCCCAGUAGUC